rnacentral:rRNA from 1 species
UACGUAGGGGGCAAGCGUUGUCCGGAUUUAUUGGGCGUAAAGGGUGCGUAGGCGGUUUGGUAAGUCUUAUGUGAAAUCUACAGGCUCAACUUGUAGUCUGCAUGAGAAACUGCCGGGCUUGAGUGUGGGAGAGGUGAGUGGAAUUCCGCGUGUAGCAGUGAAAUGCGUAGAUAUGCGGAGGAACACCGAUGGCGAAGGCAAUCCCCUGGGCCUGCACUGACGCUCAUGCACGAAAGCGUGGGGAGCAAACAGG